AAAGAUGCCAGUGGGACUGGACAACCAAAAGAGACCCAAUCCCUUAAGGAGACCCAGUCUGAGACAGCAAAAACAGGAUGGACAUGUGUCCAUCACAAAACCAUUAACUACUUUGAUGACUUCUCUUUACAUGGCAGCUCCCUGGAACAACAGCAAUCUUUAUAGCUUCAGGAGAGUAACCUAAACCCACAAAAUUUGUCCCUACCCAAAGGAUUUCCCACUGUCUGUUGCCCACCUGGUUUUACACUAACUCAGACAUAACAAUAACGUGGUGUGAUGUACCGAUGAAGGGCGACAGCAAGGGUAAAUAUCUGGGCAGAGCCUCCUCCCCCUUGGAGGCUGUUGCAUCCCCAAGCACAGCGACAGGCUGUUGUUGUGAACAUCAGUAAGGUAAAGGUCAGGAGGAGAGAUAGCAUCUUCCACUGCACCAAUGAGAGCAGCAGCAACGAACACACCAGCCCGCAGGCACAUCAGCUCCCCUGCGGAUCCUGUCCCCCAAAGGUGUCCCUGAAACCAAGCACUGUGGUGGCACCCAAACUGUGACUUUUGCCUCUGUUUUGCAGGUACAUGGAUACAGGCAGCCAGACCCCAGCCUCAACAGCCAGGCCAGCAGGGAAGGUAUUGCUCCUAGCCAGCUCCAUCCCCCUUGGAAGGCAUCAGUGGCACCCAGCACGCACCCGGUUACCACCAGACUGCAAACACUGCAGACUCUCCAGGGGAAAAAACAAAGUGUUUGUUUUCAAGAAGCAAUUUGUUGUGCAAGACCCAAAGCCAAACCACAUGCCCACAUGAAAUACUGCAGAGGUCAGUUCUGCCUCAGUGCCAGCACUCCGUGGCGAGUUACAGCUGCAGUAGCUGGGGAGAUCAAUACAGCCAGGAGAAGCCUGGAGGGACCAGAAUAUAUGAAGGAAAAGGGAGAGGAAAUCUUUAAGGAAGCCAUGCUACAG